UCAGUCCUCAUUGUUAUCUCAUAACUCUCAGAAUAUUAUGCGAGUUCUCUAGGCUACUCGUUCUAGGGCUUCGUUUGUGAGGGCUUUGCUGGUCGAAAAAGGAAAAUCAAGCUAUUGAAGAUGAUUCAGAAAGUUGACCUGAUUUUCGACUAUGGGGGUAAUUUCACCUGAACUUCUAUAUAAUCAGAAUCUAUUGUAUGUUUUGUCUGGUCAUGAAUCUAGUGGUGUUCGAUUUGCUGUUGUAUGUGAUGAGUUUACAAAGAACUUAGGUUUUAAAAAAAAUCAAACAUCUUUUAGUAACUGGACCUUCUGGAAGAUAUUACUUGGUAACAGAUAAUGAUGGUAUGAGGAUCUUGUAGUAUUUAUUCAGUAAGGAGUUUAGAGUUAUAAAUUUCUUUGUUGUAGAUGAUUCAGAUUUGAGGGUUUUUGCUCAAGAUAUCAAAUACUACACUGAAACAUACAUUGUAAAUUUUGAUGUAGCUUCUGACCAAGAAAGUAGUGUACGUGAUUGUGAGUCUGAUGAUCUAAUUUCAUAUGGUUAUAAUUCUGAAGAACUUAAGGCAUUUAGCCAAUAAAGAAUGAGGGAUAUGAGUUAUAAAUUAGAGAACUAUAAGGAAUUAGAAAAGGGUCAAACAUUUAAAGAUAUGACUGAGGCCAGAAAGGUGAUAAACUUCUAUGCAAUAGCUAAUCGUAAAUGUUUGAGGGUAAAAAAAAAAGUGAUACUACUAGGGCCACAUAUAAGUGGCAAGAUGAAUGACCCUUUGACUAUUUCAUAUCAGAAGAUGGGAGGAGUGACACCUUUAGAAUCAAAACCUUAAAUCUCAAUCACACUUGUGACCCUAUGGUUAAAAAUCUUAGGGCAGGUGCCAAAACAUUAACACAUAUAUUUAAGAGUAGGGUUCAGUAUAAUCCUCAAUACAAGGUAAAAAGAUAUGAGAGGGGAGUUGAAGAUUAGUUAUGACCUAAAUGUAUCUAAGACUAUCGUGAAAAGAGCUAAGAGGUUUGCUCUUGAGAAGUUUGAAGGUAGUUUCUUUGAGGACUACAAGAAACUUGAAGCAUAUGGUAGAACUUCUAAUCCGGGAAGUGAUGUAGUUAUCAAUAUAUCAAAUGAUGCUCUUGAACAAGGCAAAAGGAAGUUCUUGAGAAUGUAAAUUUGUUUGAAAGCAAUGAAGGAUGGAUGGAAAAGUGGUUUGAGACCACUAAUUGGUUUAGAUGGUACUUUUCUAAAGGAAAAAUAUAAAGGGUAGUUGUUAGUGGCUAUAGGGCAAGAUUAUAUGGAUUAUUUUUUUCCCAUAGCAUGGGCAGCGGUAGAUAAAGAAACAAGUAGAACUUGGAGUUGGUUUUUGGUGCUUUGGAAGCAAUCUUUGGAUUUUAAAGAUGGAGAUGGAGUGACAUUCAUCUCAGACAUGCAAAAAGUAAGCAAUUUUAAUUUUUUUUUCCUUUCAGUUUUUUUCUGUCAAGUUCAUUUUUUUCAUAAUUGUUGCUUAAUGAAUUUACAUGAAUUAAUUGAUGCUAAGAACAUUGUGGUUCUUGAAGCUAGGCAUAGAUUUUGUGCAAGGCAUAUUGGUGUAAAAAAUAAAAGAGUGGACAAGCAAAGAAGCUUAUGUGGUGGUGUGUUUGGGCCACAUAUGAAGAAGACUUUAAGGAUCAAUUGAGAAAAUUGGAUGAUAUUAACGAAGAAGCUGCUAAAGACUUGCUAAAAUAUCCACCUCAAACUUGGUGGAGAGCUUAUUUUGACACUCAGUGUACAAAAUAUCAUGGUUGACAGGAUAAAUUUUUCCUCAAGUUGACAUUAAUUUCAUUGAAUCAUUUAAUGCAUGGAUUUUGGAGGCAAGACAGAUGCAUAUCAUCAAAAUGUUGGAGGAGAUAAGGUUGAAGGUUAUGAAGAUGUUGGUAUACAGUCUAACUUGAAUUGAAGCUAUACAAUUCUUAUAGAGAAAUAACUCUUGGUUUUCAUAUACACUUCAAUGGUGAAUUUGACUAUGAAAUCAGUGAGGGAGAUGAUAGACACACAGUUAAUCUUGAGACAAAAGGUGCACCUGUAAGCUUUGGGGCUUAUCUGGGAUCUCAUGCCCCUAUGCUAUCAAGGCUUUGUAGCAUGAUAAGAUUGAUCCAGUAACACAAAUACAUUGGUAUCACAGUAAAGAGGCAUACUUGAUGAAGAGCAAAUACAGCCUGUUAGGGAGGUUAAUUCUGGAAGAUCAAUCCUGCACAAGCUAUGAAGCCACCAGAAGUUGUGAAAACUGUAGGCAUACCCAAAGUUAAGAGGAAUAGAGUACUAUAUGAAAAAGGAAAAAGGAAGGGUGAAUGUAGUGUUUCUAGGAAGGGAGCUACUAUACACUGGAGUAAAUGUGAUAAAGCUGACCAUAAUGCAAGGUCUUGUUACAAUAAGGUUCAAGCUCGAGGAAAAGAAAAAACUAUGGACAAAUAUCAAUUUCAACUGUACUAGUUUCAGGUGGCACACAUGAAGAAGAAGAAGCAGAAUUUCAAACUGAAUCUGGGACACAACAAUCAUUUUAUUCAACUGAAUCUAUAACACAACAAUCAGUUUAUUCAACUCAAGCUGUAACACAACAAUCGCAACCUUAUGGUCCUAAAGUUGGUAUUGACGAAGACCCACUACUUAGGCCAAAGAUUUUUUCUAAGACAAUGACAAGACUGAAGGAGAGGAUGACAAAGGCAAAGCCACCAAUUGGGUCAAGGAGAAUUAUAUUUACUAGAGAUGCUAAUGGGGUGUCAAUACCAUCGGGCUUGCCUUAUUCACCAACUAAGACUACUUUGAAGGGUAAGGCAGUAAUGACAUCCAAACAGCUACAGGAUGAAGGAAGAAAGAAAAAAUUUAAGAUAAUUGAUAGAAAGGGAAAAGGAGUACCAACUGAUGAAUCAAUUGAUGAGGAGGGAUUUGAAGAUUAGUUUGUUCGUAGCUUCUUUUUACUUACGUGGGAAAAUCAAUUAAUUUAUUGCUUGCAUGUACUUGGAAACUAACUUGUGAAAAUUCUCCAAAUGUUUGGUUGAUCUUCCAUGAACUCACUUUCACAAUUUAUCUUGUUGACAAGAUCACAUGUAGAAUUUGUAAUGGAUUAAUGUGUAUCUUAACUGCUUUUGGCUUGUUAAUGUUAAGUCCAGAAUGUGAAAUUCUAGUA